UACGUAGGGGGCAAGCGUUGUCCGGAUUUAUUGGGCGUAAAGAGCGUGUAGGCGGCCAGAUAGGUCCGUUGUGAAAACUCGAGGCUCAACCUCGAGACGCCGAUGGAAACCAUUUGGCUAGAGUCCGGAAGAGGAGAGUGGAAUUCCUGGUGUAGCGGUGAAAUGCGCAGAUAUCAGGAAGAACACCCGUGGCUAAGGCGGCUCUCUAGUACGGUACUGACGCUGAGAAGCGAAAGCGUGGGGAGCGAACAGG
rnacentral:rRNA from 1 species